UACGUAUGGUGCAAGCGUUAUCCGGAUUUACUGGGUGUAAAGGGAGCGCAGGCGGCGCGUUAAGCCUGGUGUGAAAGCCCGCGGCCCAACCGCGGGACUGCAUUGGGAACUGGCGCGCUGGAGUGCCGGAGGGGUAGGCGGAAUUCCUAGUGUAGCGGUGAAAUGCGUAGAUAUUAGGAGGAACACCAGUGGCGAAGGCGGCCUACUGGACGGUGACUGACGCUGAGGCUCGAAAGCGUGGGGAGCAAACAGG
rnacentral:rRNA from 1 species